rnacentral:rRNA from 1 species
ACGUACAAGCAGUGGGAGCACAGGUUUACCUGUGUGACUGCGUACCUUUUGUAUAAUGGGUCAGCGACUUAUAUUCUGUAGCAAGGUUAACCGUAUAGGGGAGCCGGAGGGAAACCGAGUCUUAAUUGGGCGUUAAGUUGCAGGGUAUAGACCCGAAACCCGGUGAUCUAGCCAUGGGCAGGUUGAAGGUUGGGUAACACUAACUGGAGGACCGAACCGACUAAUGUUGAAAAAUUAGCGGAUGACCUGUGGCUGGGGGUGAAAGGCCAAUCAAACCGGGAGAUAGCUGGUUCUCCCCGAAAGCUAUUUAGGUAGCGCCUCGUGAAUUCAUCUCCGGGGGUAGAGCACUGUUUCGGCUAGGGGGCCAUCCCGGCUUACCAACCCGAUGCAAACUGCGAAUACCGGAGAAUGUUAUCACGGGAGACACACGGCGGGUGCUAACGUCCGUCGUGAAGAGGGAAACAACCCAGACCGCCAGCUAAGGUCCCAAAGUCAUGGUUAAGUGGGAAACGAUGUGGGAAGGCCCAGACAGCCAGGAUGUUGGCUUAGAAGCAGCCAUCAUUUAAAGAAAGCGUAAUAGCUCACUGGUCGAGUCGGCCUGCGCGGAAGAUGUAACGGGGCUAAACCAU